AAAAACCGAAAACUCAAAAACUCAAAAAAAGGAACACACAAAAAGAAAAUGAAAGCCGAAACGUAAAUUUUUAUCUGUGCGCGGUGCAGUGCAAAAAGGUUUCGAGUGCAAAAUAAAGUUACUUUGGCAAUGCGAUGCAUCAAACCGCAAAACAAGAUAAUUUCAACGCCUACUUUUAUAGGGGUUUUCUGGUCUGCUGCACUCAUCCCAAAUAAAUAUAAUUCAUACUCGGAGGCAAUUCAAUACGGGCGAAAUGGCAAAGGGUGGGGCAACAGGAAAAGAUGUAAAUCCCUUGGGCCAUACACAUGACAUGCUAUGCCGUGCCUAAACCAUAUUUUGUGCCACAGUCAUGUGCAGAGGAAGAGCAAAAAAGGAGGGAGCCCAUUUUGAAUGGCACCAAAAACUCGUCGACGCGCUUCGACUGAACAAAUUCAUUUAUAUUUCGCACACGGGAAGGACUCUCUUUGCUCCAGCUUUUUGUGUGGCAGCACGGAAUACGCAAACAUAUACUGUGGGGUAACUGCAAAACUGAAAACUGAAAACCGAAAACGUAAAACUGGGAACCAACUCAAUAACGAUACGGCCAGCCGUACAGAAUGUGGCCCAAAGCCACAUAUAUAGUAUAGCGUAUGAGCCAAAAGACAGCAUGACCAACAGCAGCCAUUGCCACAUGUUGAUUUUGCAAACUGAAAUUAUAUAAUGCAAUGCCUGGUAACUGGUAAACAAGCCGCGGCACACAUGACUGCAUAAAUAAACUGAAA